CUUGGGGUCAUCCCAAUGGGUCAUCCCAAUGGGUCAUCUCUUGGGGUCAACCCAUGAGGUCACCCCAUAGGGUCAUCUCUUGGGGUCAACCCAUGAGGUCACCCCAUAGGGUCAUCCCAAGGGGUCAUCUCUUGGGGUCAUGCCAUGAGGUCACCCCAAUGGGUCAUCUCUUGGGGUCAACCCGUGAGGUCACCCCAUAGGGUCAUCCCAAGGGGUCAUCUCGUGGGGUCAACCUGUGAGGUCACCCCAUAGGGUCAUCUCUUGGAGUCAACCCAUGAGGUCACCCCAUAGGGUCAUCCCAGUGGGUCAUCUCUUGGGGUCAUCCCACGGGGUCUUCUUGUGACCUCAUAGGGUUAUCCCAUGGGAUCAACUCAGGGUGAAACUAUAGGGCCAUCCUUUGGGGGUCACCCCAAAGGUUAUCCUACGGGGUCAUCUCAUGGGAUCGCCUCGUGGGGUCACCCCACAGAGUCAUCCCAGCGGUGUCACCCCAUGGCAGUGGCACCCACUGCCCCUCACGUGUUCCCACUGACCCCCCAGAGCCCCCUGGCCCCACUCACUCACCUGCUGUGGGUCGGACUCGGGGGGAUUGGCCCUAUAGGAGCUCAGCACCACCCCUCCUCCCGGCCCGGGGGGGUCCGCGCCCCCUCCAGCAGCGCCCGCAGCGCCCGUGGGAACAUUGGGGGCCCCACAGCUCCGCCCCACGGCUCAGCCCCACGGCGACGUCAUCCUGGGGGGGGUCUGGGGAAGGGGGGGGGGUCAGCUGCCCCAUAGCGCCCCCAUUCUGCCCCAUAGCGCCCCUCAGCGCACCCAGCGCUCCCAGUUCCUGCUCCCAGUUCCCGCCCCAUCGCUCCCAGCGCUCCCAGUUCCCCCUCCCAGUGCCCCAAUCCCCCCCCAG
rnacentral:lncRNA from 1 species